AACGAACGCUCGCGGCAGGCUAAAAACAUGCAAGUCGAGCGCCCCGCAAGGGGAGCGGCAGACGGGUGAGUAACGCGUGGGAAUCUACCCAUCUCUACGGAAUAACGCAUGGAAACGUGUGCUAAUACCGUAUACGUCCUUCGGGAGAAAGAUUUAUCGGAGAUGGAUAAGCCCGCGUUGGAUUAGCUAGUUGGUGGGGUAAAGGCCUACCAAGGCGACGAUCCAUAGCUGGUCUGAGAGGAUGAUCAGACACACGGGUACUGAGACACGGCCCAGCAUCCUACGGGAGGCAGCAGUGGGGAAUAUUGGACAAUGGACGCGAGCCUGAUCCAGCCAUGCCGCGUGAGUGGUGAAGGCCCUAGGCUUGUAAAGCUCUUUCCCCGUUGAAGAUAAUGACGGUAUCCGGAGAAGAAGCCCCGGCUAACUCCGUGCCAGCAGCCGCCGUAAUAC
rnacentral:rRNA from 1 species